AUGGAGGAGGCUACACUCCAGAGAGAUUUCCCGAAGAGUCUACACCGCAACCAAGAUUUCAAACGUAUUAAAGAAACGGCCUCCGGCUCGGCCACAUUUAGCGGGAAGUCGCGGGCUGCUUUGGAAGAGGCCCCACCGCCUCCCCAAGGGCCCGAGCCCCCCACAUCUGCCCCAGGCGCCGAGCCGAAAGUGCCCCCGAGAACUAGGCCAGCGGCCGCACCGAGCCCUCCAAGCAUUCCGCGCCCCGCCCCGCCCGUGUCACCGCGUUCUCAUUCCGAACGCUCGGCCCGGGCGGCCGCUCCCAUUGGUCGGCGGCCACGUCCGUCAGCGGGCGGAACGUCGGCGCAGAGAAAAGGCUACAUUGUAACAAGGCGAGCGAGCGAGGAGCGAGCGGGGAGGAAGGAGGCGGAGGGGCGGCCCCCGAAUCCCGCAGCAGCGGCGGCGGCGGCGGCGGCGGCGGCGGCGGCAGCUACCUGCCGAGGGUUAACCCACCUCGGGGCCGGGACGAGCCGCCCCCCCCUCCGGCCCGCGCCCGCGCCGCCCGGGCCCCCCGCUCCUCCCGCGCGGGCCCCCGGCCGCCCGCGCCCCCCGCAGCCGCUCGCAGCCCCUGCACCGGCGGCCCCCGCGCUCGCUGGCAAACUGCCGAGCGCUUUCCGAAGCCAUUUUCAAUGGCCACAUUGGCUACCGGGGCUGACUCACCUUCCCGGGAAUGCUGCGGCAGCCGCGGGGCCCGGGCGGCGCGGGCGGCCCGGCGGGCGGCUCGGCGGAGGCGGCGCGGCCCCGGCUGGCGGCCCCCGCGGCGGGAGCGGCCGCGCUGCGGGCGCGCUGGUCCCCGGCGAGGCAAAGUUUCAGCGCCAGCCUCGGCGCGGCGGCGGCGGCGACUCGCUGCUGCUCUCCUCCCCUGCUUUGACCACCAUCUUAUUAGUACAGGAAAUGACAUGGAAAACGGAAGAAAGCGGCGUUUGGGGCAGACGCGGACCCCCCAAUUCAGGGGCCGGAGCCGGGACUCACCAGCCGCGUCCCAACCCGGCCCCGGAGAAAAACUCCCGGGGCCCCUUCGGCCCCCGCCCCGCGGGCUGCUCGGAGGGGGGAACCCAGCUCCUCGAACCCAAAAGGAGAGGGCGAGUUUUAUAA
rnacentral:lncRNA from 1 species